UCCUGGCUCAGGAUGAACGCUAGCGACAGGCUUAACACAUGCAAGUCGAGGGCAGCAUAGAAGUAGCAAUACUUGGUGGCGACCGGCGCACGGGUGAGUAACGCGUAUGCAACCUACCUAUCAGAGGGGAAUAACCCGGCGAAAGUCGGACUAAUACCGCAUAAAACAGGGGCACCGCAUGGUGAUAUUUGUUAAAGAAAUUCGCUGAUAGAUGGGCAUGCGUUCCAUUAGGUAGUUGGUGAGGUAACGGCUCACCAAGCCGACGAUGGAUAGGGGAACUGAGAGGUUGGUCCCCCACACUGGUACUGAGACACGGACCAGACUCCUACGGGAGGCAGCAGUGAGGAAUAUUGGUCAAUGGGCGGGAGCCUGAACCAGCCAAGUCGCGUGAAGGAAGAAGGAUCUAUGGUUCGUAAACUUCUUUUGCAGGGGAAUAAAGUGCAGGACGUGUCCUGUUUUGUAUGUACCCUGAGAAUAAGGAUCGGCUAACUCCGUGCCAGCCGCUGC
rnacentral:rRNA from 1 species